rnacentral:tRNA from 1 species
GGCCCCGUAGCUCAGAUGGAUAGAGCAACGGACUUCUAAUCCGUCGGUCGCACGUUCGAGUCGUGCCGGGGUCG